CUCACAGGGAUCUGCCAGCCCCUGAGUGCUGGGAUUAAAGGUGCAUGCCACCACAGCUGGCUCUAUUUUGAUUUUUUAAAUGACAGCUCCUGCAUGGAUGUCCGUGAAGCAUGUGUGUGACUGGUGUCCAUGGAGGCCAGAAGAGGGUAACAGAUCCCUAGAGCUGGAGUUGCAGAUGGUCAUGAGCUGUCACAUGGUCCCGGGAAUCAAACCCAAGUCCUUUGCAAGAGCAGCCAGUGCUCUUAGCCAUGGAGCCGUCUCUGCACUUUUCAACUAUUCUUACUAUUCAACUGUUAGCAUUCUUCUCCGUUUUCUUUUUCUUUAUAGGUUUGCCAUUUGUGCAUUCGUACAUCCUCCCAUCCCUACUCCAGUUGGUUAAAUAAGUUGCCGACUUUUAAAGGAUGGCUCAAUGACUCUGUCUUUUAUGCUGGAGCCACACCUGUGGAGCGCAGAUCCUGUUGUGUGGAAUGAAUGAAGUGAAUGAAUGAAGGGACAUCACCUACUGGGAUCCUGAGACCUGGCUGGGAUGGCUGCUUCCAACUUCUAUCCAAAGAAGUUUUGUAUUGGGGUCUGUGGAAUGGUUCACUGGAAAACGCAUCGACACCAUGCUUGACAACCUGUGAUCAGGAAGCCAACUUCCACAGGUUGUCUUCUGACCUCCUUGUAGGAAGGUAUAAUCUUAGAGAUGUGGCUUGGGGGCCAUACAAAUCUGGAGCCUUUGCAGAGGCUCUGUACCUACCAGCCCCUUCCGUCACUUGCUCCAGACCGCUCCCUGAACCAGUUUUCUCCGAUGCCUGUCAGAUGCACUACCUUGAAGACAGAUGGGUGGGAUGACCUCCCAGUCUUGGUCAGCAUAAUUUGUCCCUUCAGCUGACCAUGCAUUGUGUAAGGAGUGGGAUGGAGGAGGCUGCCCCAUCCUUGGGAAGGAGUCUUAGGAACAGAAUCAGGCUCUGAGACAUCCCUAACAGGACUGUGGGGUGGGAGGCCAAGGAUCCGGGAAGCAGAAUUUGGGAUGCUCAUUCUCAGACUUUCGUUCCUACCUGUGCCCUGUCACUCAGCUCUUGAAAUUCACUGUUAGGAAAGACAUACAGGAACUGGGGAGAUGGUUCGGUUGGUAAAGUGCUUGCCAUGUGAGAAUGAGGACCUGGGUUUGACCCCCAGAACUCAUAUAAAAAUGCCAGUGUGGUGGAAUGCACUUAUAAUCUUAGUGGGGAAGCAGACAGGCAGAUCCCAGGGAAUCACUGACAGGCCAGCCUAGCCUAUUUAGUGACCAGUGAGUCUCCAGACCAGCGAGAGACCCUGGUUUAAAACCAAA